UACGUAGGGUGCGAGCGUUGUCCGGAUUCAUUGGGCGUAAAGAGCUCGUAGGCGGUCUGUCACGUCGGCUGUGAAAACCCGGGGCUCGACCCCGGGCCUGCAGUCGAUACGGGCAGACUAGAGUGCGGUAGGGGAGACUGGAAUUCCUGGUGUAGCGGUGAAAUGCGCAGAUAUCAGGAGGAACACCGGCGGCGAAGGCGGGUCUCUGGGCCGUAACUGACGCUGAGGAGCGAAAGCGUGGGGAGCGAACAGG
rnacentral:rRNA from 1 species